rnacentral:rRNA from 1 species
CCUGAGAGGGUGAUCGGCCACACUGGGACUGAGACACGGCCCAGACUCCUACGGGAGGCAGCAGUAGGGAAUCUUCCGCAAUGGACGAAAGUCUGACGGAGCAACGCCGCGUGAGUGAUGAAGGUUUUCGGAUCGUAAAGCUCUGUUGUUAGGGAAGAACAAGUGCCGUUCAAAUAGGGCGGCACCUUGACGGUACCUAACCAGAAAGCCACGGCUAACUACGUGCCAGCAGCCGCGGUAAUACGUAGGUGGCAAGCGUUGUCCGGAAUUAUUGGGCGUAAAGGGCUCGCAGGCGGUUUCUUAAGUCUGAUGUGAAAGCCCCCGGCUCAACCGGGGAGGGUCAUUGGAAACUGGGGAACUUGAGUGCAGAAGAGGAGAGUGGAAUUCCACGUGUAGCGGUGAAAUGCGUAGAGAUGUGGAGGAACACCAGUGGCGAAGGCGACUCUCUGGUCUGUAACUGACGCUGAGGAGCGAAAGCGUGGGGAGCGAACAGGAUUAGAUACCCUGGUAGUCCACGCCGUAAACGAUGAGUGCUAAGUGUUAGGGGGGUUUCCGCCCCUUAGUGCUGCAGCUAACGCAUUAAGCACUCCGCCUGGGGAGUACGGUCGCAAGACUGAAACUCAAAGGAAUUGACGGGGGCCCGCACAAGCGGUGGAGCAUGUGGUUUAAUUCGAAGCAACGCGAAGAACCUUACCAGGUCUUGACAUCCUCUGACAACCCUAGAGAUAGGGCUUCCCCUUCGGGGGCAGAGUGACAGGUGGUGCAUGGUUGUCGUCAGCUCGUGUCGUGAGAUGUUGGGUUAAGUCCCGCAACGAGCGCAACCCUUGAUCUUAGUUGCCAGCAUUCAGUUGGGCACUCUAAGGUGACUGCCGGUGACAAACCGGAGGAAGGUGGGGAUGACGUCAAAUCAUCAUGCCCC